rnacentral:lncRNA from 1 species
GGCGAAGGCCGGAAGGCUGGAGCUUUGGGAUGAUGAGGGUGGGGCAGUUUCGACAAGGUGUUACUAUACGUGGAGGGCAUUGGUUGGGAGAUAGGAAUGGGGCUACGCCUCCCCAGGCGCUGGUGACCAAACAGCCGGGAUCCCAUCGAUCUUGUCAAGAUGCUGACCUCCACGAUGACAAGCAUGGAGGCUCUACGAGGUAGAGAAGAUGCCAAAAGAGGGAGGGACAUAGCCUUAUGUCAUGGACUCAGCUGAGUAAAGGUUUAG